UCAUUUUAUACAAAGUUUGACACUAAUUUAUAUAGAUAAUUGUAAACAUAACUUAUUUAUGAGUAAAUUUUCAUAAAUGUUUCUUUUGGGCAUUCAAUACAACAGAUACAUGUGCAGAGUUGUUUGGAGCUUAACAAUCACGGCUGGGGACCACAAGUUUUACUUCUUUUGGAAUCCAGAAAGAGACGGUUUCCAAAGCACCACUUACCGAAUCCUCGAAUCAGUUCAGUAAAUACUCCCGGAUCACUUUCUAUUAAACACCAAUCUCCGGCAGUACCUGACAUUGUUACAAAUUAAGAUUUGAAAAUUUCGACGGAAGUAACAAGUAACCGGAAGUAGUAUUUUUUUUUUUUUCUGCUAACGUACGAAAACUUAAAAUGUAAUAAUUGUGUAAAAAUUAAAAUAAAAAAACAUGCGUGUCGAA